rnacentral:tRNA from 1 species
AGAGGUUUAGGAUAUAGCAGUCCAAGGACCUUCAAAGUCCUAAGAAAACAUCAAAGUUUAACUUCUGA